UUCUUCUAUGCAAAGACCUGUUCUGCUUUUUUGAUUCACAAACCACAUUACCCGCUUUCCUCACAAAGUGGGUCACUUCUGCCUUUCUUCUGCGCGCUACAGAGAACACCCCUCACUUUUUUUCUAUACGUUAGUCCCUCUCCCCUACCGCUUCACAUCUUCACCGCCGAGGUUGGUUUCUGUAUUUUUUUUUCCGUGUCCAGUUCCAUCGGAUCACAUGGCAUCUACUGCAUCUACCUCUGAUAGUCAGUCACACAUUGAGGUUUCAAAUGCUUUUGAAGAAAUAGCACCACCGUCUGCAUCUACUUCCGCUACAUUUUCAACACCAUUACAAGAGAUGCCGUGGGAUAUAUUUAUUAACCAUCGUGGACCAGAUGUUAAAGACACGCUGGCCAGAGCUAUCUACAACGCCCUUCACGCCAUGGGUCUCAGAGUUUUUCUUGAUUCCGAGGAUCUUCACUUGGGAGACUUCUUCCCCGCAGCACUGGAAGAAGCAAUGCGCAGUGCUUCCAUUCAUAUAGCAAUCUUCUCUCCCGGAUAUGCACAAUCGUCAUGGUGCCUUGCUGAGCUAUCUUUUAUGCUGAAAUCUGGCGCACCUAUUAUUCCUGUCUUCUUCCAUGUUCAACCUACCGAUCUACGAUGGGUGGCUCAAGGAAAAGGAAAGUAUGUGAAUGCUUUCUUGGAUUAUGCCAAAAAGGGUAGAUACAGUUUAGAAAAGGUCCAGGAGUGGAAGACGGCACUCUACAAUGCGUCAUUCUAUAAGGGGGAAAUCAUCAGUAACAAAGAUGAGGAGCAAAGGGUGUUGAAGAAUAUUGUAAAUCGUGCAUCGAAAGUAAUGAAAAUAGUACCAUUAGAGGUAGCAAAAUAUGCUGUGGGUCUUGAAGAAGUUGUAGCAGAUUUUGAUCUGACUCUUCGCGAAUCCGCAAAAGCUCAUUCUAAUGUCCAAAUUGUGGGAAUUUGGGGAAUGAGUGGAUCCGGAAAAACUACUCUUGCAAAAGAGCUAUACAAUCAGAAAUGUUCAUCUGUAAGAAAAUCUAGUUUUCUGUUUGAUGUUAGAGAUGCUGCAAUUAAAAACAAGUUGCAUAAGAAACAGAUGAAACUUCUUCAAGACCUUGGUUUUCAAGAUAAAUCAUUUGGUAGUAUAGAGCAAGGUAAAAUGAUUCUCUCUAACUAUCUGAAAGAUGUUCGUGUACUCAUCAUUUUGGAUGAUAUAAGUCAUGUGGAUCAAUUAGAUACUUUACUCCCCGCAAAAGAUAUUCUUGGAUGGGGCAGUUUGAUCAUUGUUACAACACAGGAAAGGGAAGUCCUCAAAUGUUGGGGCAUCUCUUGCAUUUAUAAAAUGAAAACAAUGAAUCCAUUCCAUGCUAAGCAACUUUUUUGUUGGCAUGCAUUCUUUCAAGCCUCUGCACUGCCGGGAUUCGAGGAACUUGUUGACAUGUUUGUAAGUGUUUGUGAUGGAUUACCUUUAUCUUUAAAGGUAAUUGGAAGUCAGCUUGAUGGUUGUUAUACCAAGGAUUACUGGGAUGGUCUAUUGAAAAAGAUUUCUAGAAUAUUGCCCACUGAUAUCAGGAAUAGGCUGAGGGUAAGCUAUGAUGCUUUAGAUGAAGAAGAGAAGCAGACCUUCUUAGAUGUAGCUUGCUUCUUUAUAGGCCAAGAUAAGAUGACUGCCAUUGCAGUAUGGGACGGAUCAGGGUUGAGUGGUCUGUACAGCUGGGAGAGGCUGGUAAAUAAAUGCCUAGUUGACCUAGACGACAACAAUGGCAUACGAAUGAAUGACCAACUAAGGGAUUUAGCAAGGGAAAUUGCAAAAAGUCAACCGCCCUACCGUGUAUGGUCACCAGAUCAGAUUACGGGCAUUCAGAAACAUGCAGAGGUUAGAGGAAUGAUACUGAAUGAAGCGACAAGUGGCAUGACACACAAAUUUCCUCCAGGGCUUCAUGGAUUAAAAGUUUUUGUGGCAGGAAAAAAUUAUGGGAGUAAUUUACAUAUUGUCAAAUUAUCAAGAGAGUUGGCAUGGCUUAGCUGUAGUGGAAUUACAAAUAAAAAUCUUCCAUCAUGGCUACCAUUAAAAAAUUUAAGAGUUUUAGAACUUUAUAACUGCCAGAACAUAGUAGGCUUGUGGAAGGAUGGGGCAGAAGUUCCGUUGCAAUUACGAGUGUUGAUGAUUGUGGGUUGCUGUAAUUUGGCAAAAAUCCCAAAGUCUAUAGGAUAUCUUGAGAAUUUGAAAGAGAUUACCUUGUUUGAUUGCAAAUUGGAGAGUCUGCCAAAUCAAUUUUGUCGCCUUCAAUCACUGGAGCACCUGCAGCUAAUAAGUUGUAAAAUGCUAUCAUCACUACCUAGCCGUUUUGGUCAUCUGACAAACCUACGGCAUUUAGAUUUGAGCUUUUCCUAUCAAUCGGAAACGUUGCCCGAUUCUUUUAAGCAGCUGAAGCUUCUGCAGUAUCUCAAUUUAAUGGAGUGUAAGAUGCUCACCUUAAAGUCAGACAUACUGGAAAACAUGACAAAGCUUGAGUAUUUGAAUCUUAAUAGGUGUAUACAGUUGGAAGAGUUGCCUUGUCACAUCACAAAUCAGGCUUCCUUGAAUUACCUUUAUUUAUUGGGUACAUGGAUAUCGAAGCUCCCAAACAACAUCGGUCAACUCAGUAGGUUAAAAGUGUUGGAAAUAUUUCCAGAUACAAGGGAUAUUGAAAAGCAAUCUUUACCGGACUCUCUAGGGAGCCUCAAUCUUUUAGAGAAAUUGCGUUUAGCAAAUUUAGAAGUGGAAUCUUUACCAAAAUCAUUGAACCAGCUGUUCAAUCUUCAGAACCUGCAGAUAAUCGAUUGCCCGAUCAGCGAGUUGGAUUUGGGAAGGGGUCCAUCUCCUUCAUCUUUGUGCAACCUCAAGACAUUAGAUGUAUCGUUCACAAAGUUGUCAAAGAUUUCAAUUUCUGAAGACUGCUGCCCCGGCCUUAAACUUCUUUCACUCUGGUCUAUUGAUUAUUUAACGGAGGUCGAAGAGCUACCAACAGCACUGGAGGAUCUGUAUGUGGGGAGGUGCAGAUUGCUUAGAAGCAUCAGUGGUAAUGGUGACCUAGUAAACCUUCAUGAGCUGAGGAUAGAAAAUUGUCCAAGUUUGAACGCGCUUCCAAGUUUUCACAAAUUAGCUUCUCUGGAAAUAUUUGAUCUGAUAGGUGGCAACGAAGUUGAUAGGAUACAAGGUUUAGAACACUGCACAUCUUUGGGGAAGCUAAAUUGCACAUGUUUGGAGCUGCUCCAUAUGGAAAGUUUGGAGCAUCAGCAAGGAUUGAGGAGCCUGGAACUCGUAACAAAGAAGAGAUUAGCAAUUGAGCCUUGCAUUCAAACGAUUCAGAGAUGGCCAGAUCAAAUAAUAAUAUGUACGAAAGCGGUACCUGAUGCAGGAUCACUUUUGACUAAUUCAGUCUUUCCUAAUGUCUCUUACCUCCGCUCCUUUGCUAACAAGAAAAUCAGGCACAUGUCUAUCGAUCCUCCACUCGUAAGGUUGUCCCAAAAGCAUUCCUCCAACGCCAAUGCUUUUAUGCUAUGUAUGCUUAUAAAUUGUGUCUCUACUCCUAUGCCGUUGCAUAUUUUUUUGGGGGGUGACUUGACGAUUUAUUCAUUUUUAGAUAUCUUCCCUCGAACAUUUUCAACGGAGCUGAGUGAGGGUAAAUGGAUAUGGAUGGGUGUCUUCACUCAGCGUUCUAGAUGCCUCACUGAACAGAAUUUGUUCAUAUCAAAUUUCUUUAGUGAAUGGCAAUGGUUCGAUUUGAAAAUGCGGAGGUUGCCGGGGUCCUACAAUGAUAAUAAUGAAAUAGAGAAAGGAUUUAUUGUGAGGGGCGAAGAACGUAUUGUCAUUGAGGCUUUCCAUCGUUCAUUGGCACUUCUAGGUGAAUAAGUGGUGGAAGCUUCCCACCUAGUAAGCGAAAAAGAUAUCUACCGUUGAUUGUCACUUCACAGAAGUUGAUUCUGCUGCUAUGGAGUGAUAGCAUUAUAUGUUUGCCUCCUCCACGUCAACAGCAGAAAAAUAGCUAGGAUCAUUAGAGUUGGCCUGGGCCAUACUCCCUCAUGACCCCAAGUUUGUGAGAUUGUGGAAGAGCACCACCACCAAGAAAAGGAGGGUUUAAAGAUUCAUUCUGCUACAGAAAAGCAGAAUUCAAAAAGAAGAUCACAACAUAGAUGAUAGAAGUUGCAGUUCUAGAUGAAGAAGGGUGAACUAGAGCAAAGUUGAAGCUAACUAUAGAAGUUUCCAAUCAAAGAAGAGAUCGCAGGAGAUCACCACCAAGAUCACAUAAGAUCGUUGUAGAAAAGAAAGCAGUCAUUGCUGAAAGGAGAAGCCAGAUAGCAAUCAACUUUUUAAGCCAAGAGGAUGCAGAAAGGACAAAAAGGAAGUUUGAAUAGAUCGCAGAAAGAUUAAAGAAGAGAGCAGUUCUGAAGAACUUGUUAGCAAAGAGCAUUCUGUUUCUAUAUAAAAGCAAUAUUUGAGGUCAGUAGAGCCCAUUAAUAGUAAGAUUUCCGAGCAUCCACAGUGUGACUCUAAGGGAGGUGUUGAUAAAACAAAUGAAUAACACUUGAACCAACGAUGGACUAGUUACCAAGAGGCCUAGAGCUCACGGUUAAAGCAUCCCAACAACAUCAUGGGAUUUCCUAAGUUCGAUCUCUAAAUUUAGAAGAUUUUCAAUGCAACAACAUGAGUGAAAGAGACAUUGAAGUCAUCAACAAAGAAAUUAGAGAACAAAGGAAUUAGAGAAUGUGGUAUCAUUUGUGGUAGUUUUUAUUAAAGGGGAGUGUUGGAGAUUGUAAUCCCAACUACAGUUAGCUCCACUUGCCACCGUCAUAGUCAAUUAUUUUAUUCUCCCUCUCCGGGCUUAGCUUCUCCAUGUAUGCAAUCAGUUAGAACUACCCGUGACAACUGCUGUUCACCCUCGUCUCCUCUGUACUUACUGUUAGCAUUAAAUAAACUAGUGCAAUUGAUUAUCUAUUUAUUGUGCAUGCAUGUAACAACUGUUAAAACUGCUAGUUUUAUA